rnacentral:rRNA from 1 species
AGUUAGAGCCCGUUAAUGGGUGAUAGCGUGCCUUUUGUAGAAUGAACCGGCGAGUUACGAUUACGUGCGAGGUUAAGUUGAGAAGACGGAGCCGCAGCGAAAGCGAGUCUGAAUAGGGCGAAUUAGUACGUGGUCGUAGACCCGAAACCAGGUGAUCUACCCAUGUCCAGGGUGAAGUUCAGGUAACACUGAAUGGAGGCCCGAACCCACGCACGUUGAAAAGUGCGGGGAUGAGGUGUGGGUAGCGGAGAAAUUCCAAUCGAAGCUGGAAAUAGCUGGUUCUCUCCGAAAUAGCUUUAGGGCUAGCCUCGUGAUUAAGAAUACUGGAGGUAGAGCACUGUUUGGACUAGGGGUCCAUCCCGG